UGCCAGCAGCCGCGGUAAUACGGAGGGCGCAAGCGUUGUUCGGAAUCAUUGGGCGUAAAGCGGGUGUAGGUGGUCAGAUCAGUCGGAUGUGAAAUCCCAGGGCCCAACCCUGGAACUGCAUUCGAAACUGUCUGACUAGAGUCCCGGAGGGGAAGGCGGAAUUCCCGGUGUAGAGGUGAAAUUCGUAGAUAUCGGGAGGAACACCAGUGGCGAAGGCGGCCUUCUGGACGGUGACUGACACUCAGACCCGAAAGCGUGGGGAGCAAACAGGAUUAGAUA
rnacentral:rRNA from 1 species